rnacentral:lncRNA from 1 species
AUCGGCUUAAACGGACAAGGUACAAGAUGUUAAUAACCAAAAAGCUGACUGUCUCUGAAGCAAAGGCAGGUAACCAAACAUGCACAAAAUGGAACGCAGCCAUGGAUAAACAAGAGAACAUGAUUGAAAGGAUUGCAUCUUUAGCCAUUCCAGACAUAAAUUAGAGAUAAAUUACAGCCCGUUCAUCAAACCAAUGAAAAAGCCACUACAGACUAGGCAAUUACAUACAGAAUCCAACCAACCAAAGCUCCUCUUCCUCUCCCUGCUAUCGACCUAAGCGGUGUCGCGAUAGUAGUCUAUGGUGGCGGCUACUCCUUGGCGGCGACCUUCUUCUUGGGGGACUUGGUGGAGGUCUUCUUCUUGGGCGACUUGGCCUCCUUCUCGGCGGCGGCGGGGGACUUCUUGGGGAGCAGCACGGAGUUGAUGUUGGGGAUCACGCCGCCGUGGGCGAUGGUGACGCCGGCGAGCAGCCUGCCGAGCUCCUGGUCGUUGCGGACGGCGAGCAGCAGGUGGCGCGGGAUGAUGCGGGUCUUCUUGUUGUCCUUGGCCGCGUUGCCGGCGAGCUCCAGGACCUGAGAUUCAACCAAGAACCAGAUCAGUCAGUUAUCUGUCCGGCACGACGAGAACAGAGUAACAGAGGCUCGAGGAGGGGAGAGAUCGGUGCAUACCUCUGCGGCGAGGUACUCGAGGACGGCGGCGAGGUAGACGGGGGCGCCGGAGCCGACGCGCUGGGCGUAGCGGCCCUUCUUGAGGUAGCGCCCGAUGCGGCCGACGGGGAACUGGAGCCCGGCCUUCACGGACCUGGUCACCGCCUUCUUCCUGUCGCCGCCCUUCCUUCCGGCCAUCCUGCUUCUACUUCUCCGGCGAGGUGGAAACUACUCGAGAUGCGUGGGCGGCGGUGCGGGAUCGGAAUGCGCUCUGCUCUGUGUUUGUGGGUUGGGACGCCCGCGAGGGCGCGGCUUUUAUUGGGGAGAUGAAGCUUCGUGGGGACGGCGGCAGGGGGGAGCGAUCCGCGUGACGCAGUGUGCCUGCCGUUGGAUCUGUGGGGAGUGGACGGUGGGGAUUGGUUUGGGGGUGCGAUCCGCGAGAGGGUCUUAUCGGCCAAUCACAGCGCAGGGAUUUGCAUCACGAAGGGAUUUUGCUUUAAUUAACAGCUGGUUUUCUUUUUGUGCAUCAUUUAGGCAUUUUUUUCACUUUAUCUUGCAUCUAGUUGGUUUUUCAGCUGUAGUAUUUACUUAUAUAUGUAUGUAUGUUUUGCUAUUACCUAACGUUUCGGUUUGGAUGCAUGUGCAAAGGCCCCAAAUUAGAUUUGGUAUUCCCCAAAUUCCAAUCUGGUUGUUUGGGGUGCACAUGAAAUAGUUGUCCGAAAUGGAACGAAUACAUGCAUGAAAUCGCUCACACGUGCCCGAGCCCUCCCACAUUUUUGAGCUCUUCGGCUUAGAUUUGGCUGGGAAUUACCCAUCGUGCAAAGGGUAACGAUUUGUCCCUUCUUUUCCCCAUCGACUACGGCACCCAGUAACCUCCCCUCGCCGGCCAUCCUCCUCCUCCUCCGGGACCUGAAUCCCCGACGUCGCGGCCCGUUCCCCUCCUCCCAUGCCCCCCCCCCCGUCUCCUCCUCAUGUGGCCUCCACGGCCUGGCCCUAGCUGUCUGUCGCCGCUUCUCCUCCAAUAUUAGAAUUACGAAAGGUACAUGAUGUUGAUGAAAGUAAUCAUCCUCACAAUUUGUGCCCACACAAAUUGGCAACGAUAGAACGGAUCCGACAAAAUAGAAAGAGGAAAAAGAGCUCCAAGAAUAACCUUAAGAAAAAUUCUUGGAAGAGCGUAAGGAUGGGCCUUACUAUCCCAAGAAUCUCCAUCCUCUCCACUAAGGUAAAAUAAUUCAAUUUCACUAGCUUAUUCUAACAAAGUUGUGUUGGCUGCAGGUUUUUGUGAAGGGUACGACUGCUGGUACAAGCGUGACUACUCGUACCUCUGUAAAUUUUUACCAAUGCCAAGAGACUCGAUAGUGCUCGUACCAUGGGCCAAAUUCUUCUUUGAACAGAGGCAAUGUCUUUCACGACAUGGUAAGACCUAUGUUACAAGCACGAGCACUCGUACCAUAGGCCGUCUUCCACUUGGAACCCAAAACCUUAAAAGCAUUUCUUUUUCCCAUGUGUUGGCACCCUAGUUAGACCACCAGUACGAGCCUGGCCGCUCCGACUAGAGGUCGUCUUUCUCUCUAGAAAAUAAGAUAGUUUUUGCCAGAACCCAAUACGUACACGGGUACGAGCACCAGCGCUCGACCCACCCUGUCUAUUUCUUUGGUUCUGUGAUAACUUGCAAAUUCUCUAGAAAUUUGCCUGUUUGUUUCCUAAUCUUAUUUAGUUAUCCUUAUCUCAUGAAACCGUGUGGUUAUGCCCUAAGGGGACCACCGGCAGAUUGUUGACCCAAAUUGUCAUUUCUAGUACCGACCAUAUUCUCUUUAGGCGGUUAUGCCCUAAUAAAGAGUCAUACGUCUGGUACUAAUUGGAAGGAUCGAUGUGAUCGACUAGAGGGGGUGAACUACAAGAUUUAGGCUUAUCUUCUAAUUUUAGGAAUUCUGGGUAAUGUAGGUUCUCUAUUUGUGCAACUAUGUGAACACAACCUGUAUGGAAAAUAAGCUCAAAGCAAAGUAUGCUUGGCAACAAUCUAAUUAGCAAGCCAACAAGCAAGCAAGUGAAGGGAGAUAAAUGAUUAACCACCAAUUAGCCAAGGAUGCAUAUAUUAUCUCAAAGUUCACACACUUCUGGGAGUGCUAAUCUCCAUUGGAGCAGUGCCAAAACCCAAGUCUAGAACGCCACCAUGUGGCUCACUAUAUUCUACCUUUGAGUCACCCCAGCAGAUAAGCCUCGAAUCACUCGGGGUUGGUCUCGAUGGCAACCACCACACAUUUACAAACUUCUCCGUGGCACACCAGAUGCAAGGAAACUUCUGGAAGAACCUAUACCACCUAGAUUAGUGAUGGCCGAUGCUUCCCUACACACCUUCACUCCCUUAAGCUUCUGUUCUUCCUUGGCUUUAUUCAGCAAAGCAGUCAAUCCUUCAGUAUGUAACAUAAGCAAAUAAGGUGACAAUUGAUCACCUUGUCUCAAGCCUCUGGAUGGUUUAAAAGUUUCUGUUUCUUUUGAGUUAAAACGUACAUGGUAUUCCACUGUACUAAUACAUUGCAUAACCAGUUUAACCCACUCUUUAGGAAUUUCCUAUUUCAGUAGAAUACCUUCCAAAUACAGCCAUUCAACUCGGUCAUAUGCCUUAUACAUGCCUAGCUUCACUGCACACCAACCAUUAUGGCCAUCUCUCAUGUACUUUAUCGCAUGAAAACUUUCAUAGGUAAUCAAUCACACUCAAAUUAGCUAGAGUAUAGAAGCCCUAAGGCUCCCGCUCCUAACCCUACCCUCACUCCCGCUCCUGUGCCGCGCCGCAUCGGAGCGCCCCCGCCCCUUCCUCCGGUCCUCUCCAACACCAUCUCCCCUACCGCCGCUGUCGGGGGCUCGCGGGCAAAGCUCGUGCGCCGCAGCGGUGGCGGCGACGCUUGUCCUCGGCAAGAUCUGGUCAGGGGCGGCGGUUGAUUGCAUGUAUCUGCGUUGGUAAUUCCCCGAAGAGUAGAGGAGGAUGCAGUACAGCAAAGGUAAGUAUUUCCCUCAGUUAUGAAACCAAGGUUAUUAAUCUAGUAGGAGAACCAAGCAACACUGUGUAAACAACACCUGCACACAAACAACAAAAACUUGCAACCCAACGCGUAGAGGGGUUGUCAAUCCCUCCUCGGUUUUGAGAUAGAUUAAUUGUAUGAGAUUUGAUAAAUAGAUCUAACUAAAACACACACAAAAAAGUGCAGCACAGUAUUUUUAGAUUUAAUAUGAUAGGAAAUAGAGCCAGGGUCUGUAAAUUUCACUAGAGGAUUUUCUCAAGAAAAUAGCAUACGGUGGGUAAACAAAUUACUGUUGGGCACUUGAUAGAAAAGCGAAUAAUCAUGAUGAUAUCCAAGGCAAUGAUCCUGUAUAUAUGCAUCACGUCCAAGAUUAGUAGACCAACUCCUGCCUGCAUCUACUACUAUUACUCCACACAUCAACCGCUAUCCAGCAUGCAUCUAGUGUAUUAAGUUCAUGGAAAAACAGAGUAAUGAAAUAAGAACAAUGACAUUAUAUAGACAAGAUCUAUUCAUGUAGGAAUAGACUCCAUCUUGUUAUCCUUAAUAGCACGACACAUGCGUGUCAUGUCUCUUUCUGUCACUAAGAUUGAGCACCGCAAGAUUGAACCCAUCACAAAGCGCCUCUUCCCAUGGUAAGAAAAAUCAAUCUAGUUGGCCAAACCAAACCAAAGUUUCGGAGAAGAAAUACGAGGCUAUAAAGAUCAUGCAUAAAAGAGUUCAGCAAAGACUCAAAUAAUAUUCAUGGAUAGAACUGAUCAUAAACCCAUAAUUCAUUGGAUCCCAACAAACACACCGCAAAAAGUCAUUACAUCAAAUAGAUCUCGAAGAACAUCGAGGAGAACAUUGUAUUGAUGAUCAAAAAGAGAGAAGAAGCCAUCUAGCUACUACCUACAGACUCAUAUGUCUGUGGUAAACUACUCACUCAUCAUCGAAGGGGCAACAAGGAUGAUGAAGAACCCCUCCGUGAUUGUUGGCCCCUCCGGGAGAGUACCGAAAAAGGACUCUAGAUUCGAUCUAGUGGUUCUGGAACUUGCGGCGGCUGGAAAGGUGUUUCGUCGACUCCCCUAGGGUUUUUGGGAUUUUAGAGUAUUUAUAGAGGUGGAUGUCGGUAGAGAAGCUUCCCAUGGGCUCCACUACCCACCAGGGCGCGCCUGGGCCUUCUAGCGCGCCCUGGUGCCUAGUGGGCCCCACAGGCCUCCUCCCAUGCACUUCUUUGGCUCCCUGGGUGUCUUUUGUCCAGAAAAAAUUCUCCAAAAAGUUUCGUGGCAUUUAGACUUUGUUUGGUAUUGAUAUUCUGCAAAGUAAAAACAAGCAGAAAACAACAACUGGCAUUGGGCACUAUGUCAAUAGGUUAGUCCCAAAAAAUGAUAUAAAGUUGCUAGUAAAUGAGUAUAAAACAUCAAAGAUUGAUAAUAUAACAGCAUGAAACAAUCAAAAAUUGUAGGUACGUUGGAGACGUAUCAGCGGUCCACGCCGGCCGGACAUACGUCAGUGGCGCAGGGCAGCGACGUACGGCGACGGGUCUGGCACCGGUGGCUUGGGCGCCCGAUCUGAUCUCAGAUGGGUUUUGGUGGGCUGCACGAGCUGUUGUCGUGUACCAUCCCUGUUCCGUCAAUGGCAUGUUGGCACUGGGCUCUACCCGCAACACGAGGACGUUGGGGGCUCCGGCCCUGGGCGUGGCGGUGGUGGCCACCUCCUUCGCCGGAGCUGGUUGGCCCGAGGCUGGGUGGUCAGAUCUCAAGAUCCGUCAUCUAGUCCCGGCUGCUAGUUGGGGAGACAUAGUUGCCGAUGAAAACCGAGCCGAUGGCGGCGUUUUGCGUGUUACCUUGUUGAAGGCAUCAUCGUGUAGCUGUUGUUGACCCACUCGUGCUACUUCAUGGAAAACCCUAAGAUCUGGUCUUCCAGAUCGGACGAUGGCGGUACUGCGGUGCCGUUACUCUCUUGGGAGCAUCAUUUGUGGAGCAGCACUAGAAGACAGAGGCAGGAGGUGGAGCGGCUUCGUCUUGCACGGAGCUUCAGUGGAGCUGUCAAAUCAUGCCUGGCCGACGGGUGCUACGCCGAGUCAUGCAUGGUUGGCAGGUGCUACGCACGACUUAUCUUCCAGAGUCUUCGCAUCUGGACAGACGAGCGUAGGGCGAUGGCGCCGUUGGGCACCGUGGUGGUGUCGACGGAUGUCGGAUUGGCAAGGAUGAUGCAGAUCUCUCUCCUCAAGAUGGGUCAAUGGUCGAUGAGGAUGGCGGCUUCUAAAAUGUGUGCAUGUGGUGUGCGCUUUAGGUCUGCUGCACUGGUUGUUGGUUCCGAUACGUUAUGUGAAUGGAUUGGCAACGACACCAGUUUUAGAUAUGGGGAGUGAGAGCACUCUACAUUACCUGUUACAGUUGGCGCUAAAUGUAAAAAAAGAAAAGGCCAAGAACGAAACCUCUGACUAUUCACCGUAGAUUAUUACCUGUUACAUUUUGCAGCCUUUUUUUCUAUCUGAAAGUAGUGUGUGUUUUAUUGAUGAACAUGAAGCGCAGCAUCAACUUAGUUAUUUACCCAGCAAUCUUGGCCCUCCUAGGACAAACAUUCUUGUACUGGAUAAUUUGUCCUUUGAAGGGCCUGAUCUCUGCCCUUAUGUUGAUGAGUCCCAAUAUCUGAUUCUGUUUUCGGUCAGUCCAAAAUUAGCAUUCCACAAGUCUAAAGAACGUCUUGUAUUAAUGUACGGAGAGAGUACCCUGUUUGGUCAGUGGCACAUAAAUAAGACCCUGUUUGGUCAGUUUUUCAGUUUUGUGGUUUGUUACGUACGUAUAUCUGACUAUCCAUGGUUCAGUUUGGAGACCAGCUCUAAAUCACAUGUAAAAUACAGUCCUUACUGGCUUGUUCAUCGAACUAAUGAAACAGCCACUACAGACUAGCAUUUACACACAGGAUCCAAUAAACCAAAAGUCACAUCAUCUUCUCCCUGAUACGGAACUAAGGGUCAGAUAGGCUACGGGGCGGCUACUCCUUGGUGGCGGCCGUCUUCUUCUUGGGAGACUUGGCGGUGGUCUUCUUCUUGGGCGACUUGGCCUCCUUCUCGGCGGCGGCAGGGGACUUCUUGGGGAGCAGCACGGAGUUGAUGUUGGGGAUCACGCCGCCGUGGGCGAUGGUGACGCCGGCGAGCAGCUUGCCGAGCUCCUGGUCGUUGCGGACGGCGAGCAGCAGGUGGCGCGGGAUGAUGCGGGUCUUCUUGUUGUCCUUGGCCGCGUUGCCGGCAAGCUCCAGGACCUGCGAUUCAACCAAGAACCAGAUCAGUCAGUCAUCCGUCGAACAGGACAAGAACAGGAGCGGGCAAGAACGGACGGGGAGGCCGGUAGUUACCUCGGCGGCGAGGUACUCGAGGACGGCGGCGAG